CAAAGUUCGUAUGUAUUAAAAUGCAGCAAUGUGUAUAGUUCGUUAUUGAGGAUAACGUGAAGAUUAUUUUAAUUAGGGAAGGAUAUUUCUACGUUAUAGUUAAUUGUAACUGUUUAAUUUCAACUUAUGUUUACAUUAAAAGACAUCCUUAAGCCAACUUUACUAAUAUUGAUCGCUAUUUUCGUGUUAUACAUCUAUAAUCAUCUUGUUAAAGAUUUGAAGCUUUGCUGCGAUAAUACAGCAGAGAAUUAUUUUCAUUAUGAUUUGGUCAUUGGAAUACUUUCGUCGCGCGGCAACUUUGAUUUGAGGCAAAGUUUACGUGGAUCAUGGGUUGGCUAUGCAAGACGACAUUCAUCGCUCAAUAAAAGGCUAAACUCGAAUAUUCACAAGAAAUAACGGUUACGGUACACUUGCCGAAGAUAUCACCAUCUUACAGGUUUGUGAAAGCUCUUCAAUAAAUAAUAGAAAAAUGCGUGUUGGUAUCUUGGGAGUUGGGAGUACGUAGAGGUAUCUUGGGAUUUUAGAGUAUAUCAAUCUGGUGGUUUAAGGGUGGUUUUAAAAGUGGAUUAGAGGUGGUUUUAGAGGAGGGUUAAGGGUAGUUUAAGGGUGGUUUAACCGUAGUCUAGGGUAGCGAAGCGUAGCUUGAAGCCUUGGACCAACUUUAAACCACGCUAAAGGUACACUCAAAUCACCCUUAAAACACCCUUACGCUACACUUAAACCACGCUGUGGAGAUGAUUUUUACACCAUUCCAGACCUCUCAUUGAGAGCUUUGGAAUGAGCCUCGUCCCGAGUGUCUACAAUUGCGCAUGCUCAGUAAAGAGUCGAUUUUAAUAUUAAUUACCUCCGGAAGUAUACAAGCUGUACAGAUGAUUUUCAACUCAAUCUAAAGAUUUUACUCAAUCAACCAUUGGAAAUGGAAAGUCAUAAUUUAAAAAACACGUCCAAAUUGUGGUGGGGAAGGACUGCUGUAAUUGGAGAAAGUUCCUAGCCAAUUGGUAGUCAUCUAUGUUACUUUCUGGUGAAUAUGUUGGGAGAUUGGUGUCAUACUUUAUGGACAUAGUAACGUUUUUUUACAAAACAUUGAAAUUUCUGGUGCAAUCUUAUUAUCAUGUUUGGAUCAAUUGUUUCCUUUGGACAAUUAAUGAGUCGUGACAUUCUACA